UCAAAUUUUCUCUGCAACUCAAACCAUCUCCCACUCCCUCUUCUCUGUGCUACAUCUCACUGCUUCAAUCUUUCUCUAUUCAGACUUUGGAAGGACCAGCCAACAUGACUCUCUGCAACUCCUCCCUCAGCUUCCAUCCUCCUAGGUUAAACGGAAGAAUUCUGCUCUCUUGCUAUCCAUUGACUCCAUCAAUCUAGUUCUUGGUAAAAGGAUAAACGUGCAGGUGAGGAUACACCCUCCGGGAUGUGAGAUGAUUGCAUUAGACGUACCAAUAGCAUAUGUGACCCCUUUUCUUUCUUUUGUUUAGCUGAUCGGGUAUUUUUGUAAUUCCUUUAGUCGUGUAUGGGCAAUAUAGGUUGAUCAAUGUACUUAUGGUUAUUUUUGAGGAUGACUGUAUUGUAUU